AACGAACGCUGGCGGCAUGCCUAACACAUGCAAGUCGAACGAGAUCCCUGGCUUCGGUUGGCGGGUCUAGUGGCGCACGGGUGCGUAACGCGUGGGAAUCUGCCCUUGGGUUCGGAAUAACACAGAGAAAUUUGUGCUAAUACCGGAUGAUGACGAAAGUCCAAAGAUUUAUCGCCCAGGGAUGAGCCCGCGUAGGAUUAGCUAGUUGGUGGGGUAAUGGCCCACCAAGGCGACGAUCCUUAGCUGGUCUGAGAGGAUGAUCAGCCACACUGGGACUGAGACACGGCCCAGACUCCUACGGGAGGCAGCAGUGGGGAAUAUUGGACAAUGGGCGCAAGCCUGAUCCAGCAAUGCCGCGUGAGUGAUGAAGGCCUUAGGGUUGUAAAGCUCUUUUACCCGGGAUGAAAAUGACAGUACCGGGAGAAUAAGCUCCGGCUAACUCCGUGCCAGCCGCCGCAGUAAAAC
rnacentral:rRNA from 1 species